rnacentral:lncRNA from 1 species
UCUUAUCUUCUCUCCUCUCUCAAACCUAACUCUAGACUCCGUCAAUCGCCUCUUUCUCGGGCUAUCUUCGACUACCUCCUCUCAACCCCAAGCCUCCAAUGCGUCUCUCAUCGCCUUGCUCAACAUCCCUAAAGACCUCAAGGGUCCUGGGCCAUGUCGAUUUGGACCUAGGGUUUUUAGUUCUGUGUUCAAGGCUUCCCUGAUGUAAUAUUAGGCAAAAUCACACCAUAUGUGUUACGAUUUGUGAAGUUACAACAGGUUCUUUCAACUUCUAUUUGGGUUGCGUUUUGAAACCCUAACUCUUUCUUGAAUCUCUCAGAACGAUAUUAUUUUCAUGCUUUAAGCAUGUUUUCUUCUAUGAUCUGCUUAUUCUCAAGCUUCUUCUGAAAUAUCAUCUACUUUGAACCGUAUUUACUUUCUUUGAAAAACUAGUGUUUCUCGGAGUUCUUUUAUGCAAGUUCUAAUCGAUUUCUUUAUGAUUAAACCUUUUCCUUGCUUAUUUUGACCAAUUUUAUGCUCUUACUGCUUUUUAACUUGACUAUGCUAAAAGCCCUAAUUUCUAAAGAUUUUCUUCUCUUUGGUUAGGUGUGUUAGUCUGCUUUUCUUUGCCUUGGUUCUGUUUGUUGGCAUGAUUCCUUCGCUUUGGUUAUGUGUGUUAGCCUAAUAUUCUUUGCCUUGGUUCUGUGUGUUAACAUGACUUUCUUUGCCUUGGUUCUGUGUGCUAGCUGUUUACCUGAUUCUUGUUAAUGUCUCGUGGUCACCAGACCUCGGAUAUGUUCUGCUGAAUCUUAGCCUACUUAUACCACCUCUGAAUGAUUGUGUUUGCUCAUCUCUUGAUUCUUUCUGUUUCUAUGGCUGACUUUGUUUAUUAUUCUUGUUAAUUCACCUCUAUUUAUAUGUUGAAAAUACAGAACCAUGAAUUCCCAUGAUUGAUUUUGAUUUUUCUUAAUUAUUGGUAAUUGAAAGAUUUUCUUUCAAAGCCCUAAAAUUCUACUCGUCUAUUUAAAUUAACUGAUUACAUUACCUUAUCUGCUAUGGUACCUUGUUUUAUUAAGGUUUUCCUUAAUUGGGUUUUUCUAAAUUUGGUCCUAAUUGAUUACUCUAUACCUACUGAACCUUGACUCCUUCCUUAUUUAAUCAUACACUGAGUUUUCUUCUGCCUUAUAUGGUACUGAAUCUUUCUGUUUAAUCUUGAUUCCCUUUACUUAAGGAUGUUCUUCCUUGAUUCUCUAAUUGAUUGAUUCUGAGUUCUUAAAUUAAUAUACUACUAUGGAUUUUACCUUAUUUCAUUACUUACUUUCAACUAUAAAUAUCAUAAGUCUUUCACAAACAAAGAAGGAACACUUUUAGUUCUGAACUCACACUUAUACUCAAACACUCUCUUGCUUUACUACUUGCACUGUGGCCUGUUUAGCCGGCUGAAAGCCAAGGCUAUAUUUCAAAGUACGACUAUUUUUAUUUACCGCAUCUUGCUUCUUUAACUGGUAUGUUCUAAUUAAUCUUUCAGUACCAACAACAACAUGGUUACUUUAUAUUCUUGCAUUCUUGUCUGCAUACGCUUGUAUCUAAUUCAGUACCUUCAAUUAGCA